rnacentral:rRNA from 1 species
CCUAUACAUGCAGUCGAGCGGACAGAUGGGAGCUUGCUCCCUGAUGUUAGCGGCGGACGGGUGAGUAACACGUGGGUAACCUGCCUGUAAGACUGGGAUAACUCCGGGAAACCGGGGCUAAUACCGGAUGGUUGUUUGAACCGCAUGGUUCAGACAUAAAAGGUGGCUUCGGCUACCACUUACAGAUGGACCCGCGGCGCAUUAGCUAGUUGGUGAGGUAACGGCUCACCAAGGCGACGAUGCGUAGCCGACCUGAGAGGGUGAUCGGCCACACUGGGACUGAGACACGGCCCAGACUCCUACGGGAGGCAGCAGUAGGGAAUCUUCCGCAAUGGACGAAAGUCUGACGGAGCAACGCCGCGUGAGUGAUGAAGGUUUUCGGAUCGUAAAGCUCUGUUGUUAGGGAAGAACAAGUGCCGUUCAAAUAGGGCGGCACCUUGACGGUACCUAACCAGAAAGCCACGGCUAACUACGUGCCAGCAGCCGCGGUAAUACGUAGGUGGCAAGCGUUGUCCGGAAUUAUUGGGCGUAAAGGGCUCGCAGGCGGUUUCUUAAGUCUGAUGUGAAAGCCCCCGGCUCAACCGGGGAGGGUCAUUGGAAACUGGGGAACUUGAGUGCAGAAGAGGAGAGUGGAAUUCCACGUGUAGCGGUGAAAUGCGUAGAGAUGUGGAGGAACACCAGUGGCGAAGGCGACUCUCUGGUCUGUAACUGACGCUGAGGAGCGAAAGCGUGGGGAGCGAACAGGAUUAGAUACCCUGGUAGUCCACGCCGUAAACGAUGAGUGCUAAGUGUUAGGGGGUUUCCGCCCCUUAGUGCUGCAGCUAACGCAUUAAGCACUCCGCCUGGGGAGUACGGUCGCAAGACUGAAACUCAAAGGAAUUGACGGGGGCCCGCACAAGCGGUGGAGCAUGUGGUUUAAUUCGAAGCAACGCGAAGAACCUUACCAGGUCUUGACAUCCUCUGACAAUCCUAGAGAUAGGACGUCCCCUUCGGGGGCAGAGUGACAGGUGGUGCAUGGUUGUCGUCAGCUCGUGUCGUGAGAUGUUGGGUUAAGUCCNGCAACGAGCGCAACCCUUGAUCUUAGUUGCCAGCAUUCAGUUGGGCACUCUAAGGUGACUGCCGGUGACAANNCCGAGAAAGGUGGGGAUGACGUCAAAUCAUCAUGCCCCUUAUGACCUGGGUUACACCUUGCUACAAUGGAC